UGUCCAGGGGCGGGAAUCGAACCCACACCCUUCUGCUUACGGUAAGCAGAAGGGUGUGGGUUCGAUUCCCGCCCCUGGAC